rnacentral:rRNA from 1 species
GACGAACGCUGGCGGCGUGCCUAAUACAUGCAAGUCGAACGCAGUGGGGACGGGUGAGUAACAUGUGGGUAACCUCCCAUCAGAGGGGAUAACACUUGGAAACAGUUGCUAAACCGAUACUGAUGGAUGGACCCGCUGUGCAUUAGCUAGUUGGUGAGGUAACGGCUCACCAAGUCAACGAUGCAUAGCCGACCUGAGAGUGUGAUAGGCCACACUGGGACUGAGACAAGGCCCAGACUCCUACGGUAGGCAGCAGUAGGGAAUGUUCGGCAAUGGACGAAAGUCUGACCGAGCAACGCCGCGGGAGUGAAGAAGGUUUUCGGAUCGUAAAAUUCUGUUGUUAGAGAAGCGGUAUCUAACCAGAAAGCCACGGCUAACUACGUGCCAGCAGCCGCGGUAAUAC